GAGAGGAAUAUAGAGAAAUACUUCACAUGUGCUUAGAUAAUACUCCUGAAGUAUCGUGUCGAUCUUUGUUUAUCAGAAAUAUUUAUGUUGUAAUAAAUUGCAAAAUCAUAUUACGACUAUUUACUAACGUGAUCAAUGAAUAUACACUAUGCACUAGAAGGACAUUAAUAUGAUUGACAGCUGCAUUCAGAAUAAUUGACUAACAUUUGAUUUGCCUUAUCUCAAUGAAUAAUGUAAUAACCUGAUUAUUCUUUAAGAAAAACGCUAUUGUAAAAAUAUAAUACAAAUGCAAAACUUAGAACAAAUUAUGAUAAAAAAAAUCGGCAUUAGAUACCUAAUUAAGAGGUCUAUGAAAAGAGAGGUCCAGACUCGCAAAGCGUCUCCAAACGAAAAAAGCUAAACCGAUUCAACUCAAAAACCAAGAUACACCGUCUCAAGCAGCGAAACCAAAAAAGCCCCUCGUUCUAGACCUAGCUCCUCAUUCGAAACAAUAUCAUUUCAAACAGAACAGCUCUGGUAAUGGAGUUAUCCACCAACUAUUAACAUCACCCAAGAACAAUAAUCAGAACGGGUCUAUAAAAUCUAAAACCAAGAAAUUGGAUAAGCCGAUUUCUUUGGAGAAGGUCUUCCCUGAUACUUAUGUAAAUUUAGAUGAGUUUUAGAAUAGGCGUAGUGACGGGCAGGGAUCUUCAGAUUUGAGUUGGUAUACCUGUUCAGUGGAGGAAAUCAAAGAAGUAGUCAAAGAAGAACAGGCAGAAGAAGAAGAUUGCGAAGAAGAAGAAGAAGAAGAAAAGUAAACAGCAUUCCAAACAGCUAAUUGCCAUUUUAUUAAAUUGUUUUAUUUUGUGUAGCUAAUAAUUUCGUUGUUUUUUUAUUUAUUAAAAGUGUAAGAAUAAAUGUGAAUACGUAUUGUGUUAACAAAUUAUAUUUAUAUACCUAUUUGUCCCUCUA